rnacentral:rRNA from 1 species
GUGGGGAAUAUUGGACAAUGGGCGAAAGCCUGAUCCAGCCAUGCCGCGUGUGUGAAGAAGGUCUUCGGAUUGUAAAGCACUUUAAGUUGGGAGGAAGGGCAGUAAGUUAAUACCUUGCUGUUUUGACGUUACCGACAGAAUAAGCACCGGCUAACUACGUGCCAGCAGCCGCGGUAAUACGUAGGGUGCAAGCGUUAAUCGGAAUUACUGGGCGUAAAGCGCGCGUAGGUGGUUUUGUAAGUUGGAGGUGAAAUCCCCGGGCUCAACCUGGGAACUGCCUCCAAAACUGCAUGACUAGAGUACGGUAGAGGGUAGUGGAAUUUCCUGUGUAGCGGUGAAAUGCGUAGAUAUAGGAAGGAACACCAGUGGCGAAGGCGACUACCUGGACUGAUACUGACACUGAGGUGCGAAAGCGUGGGGAGCAAACAGGAUUAGAAACCCUUGUAGUCC